CCAUGUGGUUCUCUAGAUUUUUACUCACUGUUCCCAGGACUCCGACAAUUAUUGGUACUACUACCACCUUUUUCAGCGACCACAACUGUUUAACCUUCCAAGCUAACUUGUUAUAUUUUUCGACUUUUCUUUCUUCCUUAUCGUAUACCUUGUUGUCAGCUGGGCAUGCUGUGUCUAUGAUCCAGCAUGAUUUGCUUUCU